ACCCCACUGCUAUCGGGAUGGGACUAAGACAUGCUAGUUGAGCGCCUUCCAGCCAUGUGGGAGGCGCAGCGCACAGCUCAGUAACACGUGGCUAACCUGCCCUUGGGACGAGACCAACCCCGGGAAACUGGGGAUAAUCCUCGAUAGGUGAAGAACUCUGGAAUGAGUCUUUGCUUAAAGGGCGUUGGAUCAUGCUUUCAACGUCGCCCAAGGAUGGGGCCGCGACCGAUCAGGUUGUUGGUGAGGUAAUGGCCCACCAAGCCUUUUACCGGUGCGGGCCGUGAGAGCGGGAGCCCGGAGAUGGGCACUGAGACAAGGGCCCAGGUCCUACGGGGCGCAGCAGUCGCGAAAACUUUGCAAUACACGAAAGUGUGACAGGGUCAUCCCGAGUGCCGACCGCUGAGGUUGGCUUUUACCCAGUCUAGAAAGCUGGGGGAAUAAGGAGAGGGCAAGUCUGGUGUCAGCCGCCGCGGUAAUACCAGCUCUCCGAGUGGUGUGGAUGUUUAUUGGGCCUAAAGCAUCCGUAGCUGGCUAGGUUAGUCCCCUGUUAAAUCCACCGAAUUAAUCGUUGGAUUGCGGGGGAUACUGCUUGGCUAGGGGACGAGAGAGGCAGACGGUAUUUCCGGGGUAGGGGUGAAAUCCUAUAAUCCCGGGAAGACCACCAGUGGCGAAGGCUGUCUGCUAGAACGCGCCCGACGGUGAGGGAUGAAAGCUGGGGGAGCGAACCGGAUUAGAUACCCGGGUAGCCCCAGCUGUAAACGAUGCAGACUAGGUGUUUGGACGGCCACGUGCCGUUCUAGUGCCGCAGGGAAGCUGUUAAGUCUGCCGCCUGGGGAGUACGAUCGCAAGAUUGAAACUUAAAGGAAU
rnacentral:rRNA from 1 species